UGGCAGUCUGACCCACACUCCCCACGCCCAGGACCAAGUCGCCUGAGCCCCAUAGCCACAACUCUCUGCCGGCCUUGCCCGGGCUUGCCUUCGGUUGCAUCAUCUCCCAGCUUUGCCAGGGGUGCAGAAGUGAACCACCCACUCAGCGCUGGAAAAACCAGCUAAUUAUAUCUCCAAAGACCCAGGGCAAGAACUUGUGGACAACCUCAGCUGGCCUGGCCUGUCCCACUCGCUUUCCAUUUCCCCCCACCCUGAGACAGGAUGCCACUGUGUAGCCCAGUGUAGUGAACACUUGGAAUACAAAAUAAAGAUGGUGGAAUGAGACAUUCCGUCUCCAGUUCCUAACAUCAGAAGUGAGCACCUGUGUGUCACCAGCAACAUAUUGGAGGCCAGCUGCCUACACCAAUCAGAAACAGGGACCACAAAGUCUGCAGGGGUGAGAUAGGCCUUUUCAGUGUCUACGAUUUCAUCAUGGACAUUACUGUCGAUUUCUCUUCCUGCCCCUGUAUGUGCGGGUCUAUCGCCAUCUCGCCAUCUCCGGCUCCUGUGUUAUGAAGACAGUCUCAUGCAGCCCAGACCAAUCUCAAAUUGACUAGGUAAACUGAGGCUGGCCUUGAACCAGUCCCUCCUGCCUCUAUCUCCUGAGAGCUGGGUAACAGCUUCUGGAGCCUCACCCAGCUUCGCUUUCACCACCCCAGCCAAUCCUGUGACUCCUCUUCAUAGCGAGAGCAUUGACACUUAUGUUCUGAGUGUGAAAAAAAAAAAAAAAUCACAUAGUACUUCCUACUAGAACCUUGCCCGGGUCAACUGAAGUGUGUGUGUUUGCUUACCAGUCUGCAGGUUUGCUUAAGUUUGUUUAUUUUAGAGACCAGGUCUUGCUCUGUUGCCUAAGCCAACUUGAAACUCUUGGGCUCCAACAGUUCUCCUGCUCCAUCUUUCUAGAGCAGCUGGGACUCUAGGCAUGCUCCACUACAGCUGACUGAAGCUUGAAUGAAUGAAUGAAUGAAUGAAUGAGUUACUACCUCUGAGGGACCCUCCUCAUGGCCUUCUCAACUCUGUACUUUAAUUAGUUGCUUAGAGGUGUCUCCAUGCCUCAGUUUCCCCAUCUGUAAUAGUAAACGAGUUCACAGGCGUGGUCUGUGCUUGGAGCAAGAACAAAACCAUCCUGGCCUAUACUCUCUAGGGACUCUACAGAGCCCAUCCCUUUGGCUAUCAGACUGUUGAGAUAAAGGUUCCCCCAGGAAUCGGAAUCCCCUCCGACAGGAGUCUCAUGCUCAGAGAAGAAAAAAAGCUGAAGCCUGCUGACAGCCAGAGAGGGUACUUGUCUGUCAGGGAAAAAUUCUACACAGGACAGACUGGAGCCCAGACUGGUCUGGGUCAGUGACACACGGCACAGCACACGGUGGGACAACCUGGCUGUGCAUCUCUCUCAAACCUCUUGUCACCCUUCUCACUGUGGCCACAGCGAAGCGAAUACAUCUCUCUGCUUUUCACUACGUAGCUCCAUCAUUGCCUUGGGGGGGGGUAGCGAGGAAGGUCACUGGGGCCCUGCCUCUGAUAAGAAGAACGAGCAAUUAUGAUUUCCAGGAACCGAGGGUGCUCUUGCUGUUCAGUGUCUCCAGCACCCCCGGAGACCCCAGGGCUGCCGUCAAGGGUGUUCAAUAAACACGUAUCGAUUGAGCCAACAAUGCCAGAAUUGGACCUGCAGAGGAGAAAAUGGACAAACAAGACAGUGAGCCUGCAGGUGAGACCAGAACUGGAGCCAACAAUCUACCUCUCUCUCCCAACCCUAGCAACGCCAGCAGCUCUCUGGGCGAGGGGCACAGUUGCUUCCAGUUGGCAGAACCAGUCUCCCAGCUUCCCUUCAGAACCCAGCACCUGCUGAGCCACCGACCCACGGACUGUCUCUCUCUGGAAGGCAGCCACCGACCCACGGACUGUCUCUCUCUGGAAGGCAGUUCACCUCUGGGUUUCAACACUGCCCUUUCCCCUUUCCUUCUUUAGCCCUUAGGAAUCCCUGAAAGCUUCCUGUGCUUGUGGCUUCUGUGACUUCUCAACAUCUCUUGUGCACACACACACACACACACACACACACACACCAGCCUGUGUCUAAGCAGUUCAUCCUGUACAAUGUCUCUCUGAUAAAAUAACUGAUUCCAUUUCUGUCACCUGCUGAGGCUCCAGCAGCUCUGCCCUCAGACCUCUUAAAGCUGAGGCUCAGAAGCACAGGGAGGCACGGGAACCUGGUCCCAGGCCCUGGCUUGCUGGAGCGAAGGAAUCUAUUGCUUCGGCCACUCGGUCAGAAUCCCUCGGAGAUUGAUGUGAUAUGCACAGUGACACCCAAUCGGGCUUGGAAAACUGGGCCAACAGUUAAGCCACACAAAGGAACUAACCACAGCUCCACUGGCAACUGGCUCCUUGGCAAGUGCCAAAACAAACAGCUGUGGUGCAGGCCUUCCCCGGGCUGCCGGCUUCCUGGACACUGGCAGAGGCCGCUCAAGAAGGGAGUACCUGAGUAGGGUGUUGUUCAGUUGGUAGAACGUUUGCUUGCCUUCCAUGAAGCCCAGGGUUCUGUCUGCACCUCAUACCUGUGAUCCUAGCAGUUGGGAAAAGACAGCAAGCACCCGGAUCAGAAGUUCAAGACCACCCUCCCCUUUAUAAAGGGAUCUGAGGCAGCCUGGGACAUCUGAAUGACAAAUGAAAAGAGCCGUGAGCUAUCUGGUGUUUUCUUCAUGGAAGUCCAAGUCUCCCCCUCAUUCCUCCCAGGAUUCUCCGAAUCUGGCUGUUGUCUUUUGCGAUAUUUUAGAAUAUUCUAGCCAGAGCGCAGAGUAUAAAAUACAAGUCAAAGGCAAUGAGCAUAUGUUAGAUGGAUGGAGGAGGGCCUAAAAAUGCUGGUGCUGGGGAGGAAAAAUGGCUCAGCAGUUAAGAGCACCGGCUGCUUUUACAGAGGACCUGCCUUCAGUUCACAGCAACCGCAUGACGGCAACUCUGGUUCCAGGAAAUCCAAUGCCCUCUUCUGACCUCUAUAGGCACCCGGCAAGCACACAGUGCACAGACAAUCAUACACACGUGU
rnacentral:sRNA from 1 species